rnacentral:rRNA from 1 species
GACGAACGCUGGCGGCGUGCUUAACACAUGCAAGUCGAGCGAUGAAGCACCUUCGGGUGUGAAUUAGCGGCGAACGGGUGAGGAACACGUGAGAAAUCUGCCUUCAACACUGGGAUAACUCCGGGAAACCGGGGCUAAUACCGGAUAUGAAACCUGCGGGCAUCCGCGGGUUUGGAAAGUUUUUCGGUUGAAGAUGAUCUCGCGGCCUAUCAGCUUGUUGGUGAGGUAAUGGCUCACCAAGGCGACGAUGGGUAGCCGGCCUGAGAGGGCGACGGACCAGACGGUGACUGAGGCACGGCCCAGAAUCCGACGGGAGGCAGGAGUGGGGAGUGUUGGGCAAUGGAGGAGGGUCUGACCGAGCGACGCCGCGUGCGGGAUGGAGGCCUUCGGGUUGUAAACCACUUUCAGCAGGGAGGGAGCGAAAGUGACGGUACCUGCAGAAGAAGCACCGGCUAACUAUGUGCCAGCCGCCGCCGUAA